UGAAAAAUAGAACUCGAUAAAAGAGAAACGAGAAAAAAAAAGAAACAAAGCUUAGGUCGUGUCUACUUACUUGGUUUGUACGCGAACCUGCGUCGAACAAAACGUGAUCGAGGCCCCUUACUUUCGAAGUUGGCUGCAGAGCAUAUACGGUUGAUCGACUGCAUGUGCUUCGCUCGCUUUCCUAACAAGACAUUCUUUUACCGACGAUCAUACUUUUAUGUACGCGCCGUUUUCAUUGACGCAUUACUGAAUUUUUAACGACGGAUGUAUUGUACCUGCGUGUAUGAAAAAUAAUCAAUAAAAGGAUGGCGCAACCAUCAAAUCAUCAACGAAGUCGUAAAUCGUAGUAUACGAAAGAACACGUUCGAGAACCGGAAGCGUAAAGUAUACCGAGGCUUCGAUCCGAUUUUACUUUCACAAGAUCGUAUUAUUUCGAUACAACUCAGAGAAAAGAAAGCUACUUCUACUAAAGCUACAGAUAAAUACAGUGAAAAGAAGAAUUGAUUUAUGCAUGCGAGUUUUCAAAAGAAAUUACUUUUCUUAAAUGGAUAAUGUCGAAGUCGCGCGAUUAUCGACAGCGUCUCAAAAGAAGAGUGUGCUGAAGACACGUGAACGAUGUUAACGGUUUUACGAACCUAUUGUAAUUAAUUUACAAUGUAAAUAUCAAUUAAUUUUCUUUUUAUAGCAUAAAGAUUCAUUUGAAUAUUAUUUGCGUAAGUUGUUAUUUUAUAUUAGAUGAAAAAUGAGACGGAAUCGAUAAAAAGUUUAAGUAUUUUCUUUGAAGAGAAAUUAGCUAUUUAAGUGUUCGAUAGCUUUUAAAGUGCACGACCACACCUUCGAUAGAUUCUUUUACAUACUCAUUGCACUUUCUCCGUUCAUUUGUUUUCCAAAAACGUACGUCCACGUUUAUCGACAUACUUUCAAAAAGAACUAAAUCUAUGAGACAAUAAACUUUGCAAAAUAUUUAUUACACUUGUCGAAUUGUAAUAAUAAAAAUGAUACUUAGUACUCUUGAAUUCUGAAAAAAAAAAAAUGUAAGAGAUAAACGAAACAGAAAUUAUAAUAAAUCAUAUUUUUUAAGAUAUGCAUUUAUUUUAUUCUUUAUAUAUCGAAAUAAUAUUGUUAUGAUAAUGUUCAUAAAAAAUGCAUCUGUGUAUCUUCUGUCUAACUUAAAAAAUAAAUUUUAUUUGUUACA